rnacentral:tRNA from 1 species
UCCCUGGUGGCUCAGUGGUAGAGAAUCUGCCUGCCAAUGCAGAAGUCGCAGGUUCAAUCCCUGGGUUGGGAA